UUUUGGUUAAAGUGCCCCCUCUUAUUCUCUCGUCAUUGCUCCAUGACCAUCUACUUCCUCUUCUUCCUCUGCUAGGCACAACAACAACAUUGCAGCAUCCCAAAUUUCGUGCUCCUUCCUCUUCUCCCUUGCUGAUUCAAGCUCUCCCUUGUGGAUUUUUCUCUCCAAAAAUCACCAACAAUGGAGGGACGGAUGUUUUGAUUGGUUUCGUUACUCUUUUUUCUCUCUUUUUAGUUUUCUUGCGUGGAGAGGAGAAGACAAACACCCUUUUCUCUCUUUCUCUCUCUAUCUCUCUUUAAAAAACCCACUUACACAAUCCAUUCUCUUCACCCAUCCACCUAUUUUCUUCACCCAUCUACCCAUCACCCGAUAUUCACAACCGCAGCCCCCACCCCUCAAACGUCAAAUGUCGGUCCUACCUCCACAAGUGUUCUUUUUCGCGUGCAACCCAUGAUUUCAGAAUCUGCUCCUUUGAAAGGAAGUUGAGCAUUGCAAUUUAAUGGCUUAGUGAAACUGCUUCUGGUUUCAAGAUUCCAGGAACUGUGCUUGCAUCACAUCCUUUAGUACUCACAGCUCUAGCGAGUUUAAAUUCUAAGCUUUUAUCAGAGGCAUUUAUAAACGAAGGAGGAUCUUGAUCAUCUUUUGUGGGUUGGCACGUGGUAGUUUGUUUAUUCCUUGUGGCAUUGACUUUUGAGGGUUUGGGGUUUGGAAAAUUCAAUGAAACAGUAAUGUCUGUGGAUUUUAAUUUAGUUUGUUUUUAAUUUCUAGAUUCAGGAUGAAGAAGAUGUGAAGGCCAUUGCUCAGUUAUUUGCUGACAUGGGAGAUUCAUAUGUUGAAUUGAUUGCUACUGGUUCUGAUGAAUCGAUGUUAAUAGUCCAUGCUCUACUUGAAGUUACUUCAGACCCUGAAUAUGAUAUUGCCUCCAUAACCUUUAAUUUUUGGCACAGCCUGCAGUUGAACUUGACAAAAAGGUUAUUUAUUCUAAGCCCUUUAGAGUCAACUAUGAUUCUUUUAGACCACAAUCAUAUUGAUCGUAUUUUGUUAAAAGCUAAUUUAUUAUAUGCUCAUCUCAGUUUUUCUAGUGUUGUAUGUAGAUUAUGCCAUAAGUUCAUAUGAUUAUACUGCCUCAUAAGUUCAACUUUCAACUUUCUCUGUUUACAAACAUGAAGGUUGAUGAAGCACUUGGGAUGCCAGUUUUUUGAUGGUGUACUUUUCCCUCAUGAUUCCUUAAUAGAAUUUUUUUUGUCAAGAAGGAUAAAUGAUUUUAUUAUUAUUAUUAAAAAAAAACUAUGGUGAUUGCCCUUAAUAGAAUAUAUUUUUCUUUGAUCGUUAAAAAUUGAGAUUGCUUUGUUGUAAAUCUUUGUUAUUUCCUGACAUUCCUAGUAUUUAAACUUCGGUGUUGGAGGUGGUGGUGCUGAUGGAGGUAAGGAGUUUCAACAUCAUUUUGAUUUUAUAACUUGUUUGGGGGUAGCAAACUAUGUAUUAUGGGGUGGCCGUGAGGGUUAUCAGACUCUAUUGAACAUUGACAUAGGGAGAGAGCUUGAUCAUAUGAUGAGUUAUUAUAAAAUCUUCAGCCGGAGAGAAAAGGUAUAUGGAAAUAGUUUUCUUGUGUUUUGUUAUUAGAUUAACCAUUAUUUAUUGUUUCUCCCAUUCAAAACAGAACUAUAAAGAUUGUUAAGAAGUUAGGAAAGACAUAUAAGAAUCGACAACAGUUUUAUCUUUUUGAGCAGACUGGUGGUAGCAUUCCAAAUAUUAGUAUUGGGGUUCCAAGCAUGAGCAGAGUAUAUUAGUAUUGGGGUUCCAUACUUUAGGUCCGAGUUGUGGCUUGACUGGUAGCUGAUUCAUUUGUGUAUUAUAGAAUAUUAACAAAGUGGAUCAUAAAAGAGAGAUUUUGCAAGAAUCCAUUGGAGUAGUGAAGCCAUAUUUGUGGCAAUUGAUUGAUUUAUAGGCCUUUUUUAAGAUUUGGUAGCCAAAUUUUGGUUCAAAUGUACUUAUUUAAAUAGUUUGUUCAUUGCUUCAUUGUACAAACACUUUACGAACAAUUGUACAUAUAUUAAAGUGUAUAUAUAUUAAAGUGUUCACCAUUUCUUUC